UGCGUAGGUGGCGAGGUAAGUCGGAUGUGAAAUCUCGGAGCUCAACUCCGAAAUGGCAUUGGAAACUACCUUGCUCGAGGGUUGGAGGGGGGACUGGAAUGCUUGGUGUAGCAGUGAAAUGCGUAGAUAUCAAGCGGAACACCAGUGGCGAAGGCGAGUCCCUGGACAACUCCUGACACUGAGGCACGAAAGCUAGGGGAGCAAACA
rnacentral:rRNA from 1 species